rnacentral:lncRNA from 1 species
CUUAAAGGGCCAAUGCAAGAAGAAAAGUGGCAAUGACAACACUUUGUUCAAACAGGGCUGAGCAUUUUGGGCUGUGGGAAAACAGAAGAGAGGCUCCUCACUCAGUCAUGAUGUGUCCAGAAAGGAGUCCCAGAGAAAAUAACAUCUGAUCUGAGAAAAGAGAGAAACAAGGAGCAGAAGUUAGGGGUACUAACUGGAAGAAAGGAAUGCGAAUGAUUACCAAUCCUGCUGCAAGUGCUUAAAGAAGAUGGAAUCAGAGUGUGGGAACCAGGCUGAACUACAUGACUGACAGUAGAUGACCGCCACUGCCACGGGAUCCACAGGGUCCACAAAGGUGCUUUUCAUUGGGCUGCUAUAUUUAAUCAUUCUAGGGUGACAUAUUGCUUUGAGAAUUUAAUCAAAGCUUCAAGUUUUCUUCUUGCACAUUUUAAAGGAGAGUUCAGGGUUUUUCCAGACCUCUUGAAGGCUGUCCUUGGAUCACUGUUCUCUCUCUCAGACCACCCCUCCCACCAGCUGAAGAACUCCUGUUUUAACCUAGCUUGUCCCAUGUAACCAACAUGAUGUAACAACAGGUUUCUGGCCCUCUCUGUAUUGUUCACAGCCUCCCCUGAAUCACUGGUCCUGGAACUCUCGUCUCAUGCUUCUGCUUUCCAACCUGGGCCCCUUCUUCCUGGCGUCUAACCUGAAAUCUUAUUUCUUCAUAUUUAUGUUGUCUCCCUUUUAGAUUUGAUCUACUGCUUUGUUCUCUGCCUGAUCAUAAUUCUUACAGUUCCGUGGUUAAACUCUAGUAAUCCUUCCAUAAUAUCCAAUCUAGCCUCUGGGAACUCCCUACUUCCCAUCCAACAUCCAGGCAUCCUUGUCCAGAGAACACUCCUUUGAAAACUUUUUCUAAAUUUUGCUUAGUUUAAGGAUUGAAUCCACAUUAACAUUUUUUAAAACACCUGUGGGAGAAGUAACAAUUAACCUAUUGUCUUUCAUUUGGAUUCCCGUGUUAAUAAGUUUUAGGUCUUUGCUUCAGAGAAGAUUUUGUUGAGGAGAGUUUGAGAAUUAAAUAGAAUGAAAAGAAGAAACUCUGCUACCAAAGGAAAGGGGGCUUUGAAAGCUGGAGUGUAAAAUUAUUAAUUUUUCCUAUCCCUCGUUCUGCUUCGGUCCCACACUAAGCUGAAGUGUUGAAAACAGUACAGAAAAAGUUUUUCUGACAGAAAAACAUUUGAGUUAUUGCUGAGAGUGCCUUGAGAUGGUGUGGCAUGCUGCCAGGCCUUUGGCAUUGACUGCCACUAGCUAAAAACUGUGUGUUUAUAGUGUUGAUGUGUGCCUGAUGAGCGAGAGACCAGCCCGCUAGGCUCAACCCCUGAGCCUGGCCUCUCUUAAGACCGUAGAAAGAACAUAGCACACUCCCAAGGCUACAGCUCUCCGUGGUUCAGUAAUUGACUUAGGUCAGCAUGCCAGUCAAACCAGACAGCCUGACUUUUCUUCCCCAACAGAAACUUGAAUUUAUAAAAUGUAUUCACAUCUCAUCAUUUAGGGAUUUAUGCCUGCAAGUCCACUAUCAUUAAAGGGUUACAUGCAUACAUUCUCCUUUCCAUUGUAGGGAUUACAAACGCCUAACGAUAGUAAAUUAUUCUCUUCUGCGCUGUACACUACGAUUACCCUGUGGAAUUUUUUAGACUGUUUUGUAAGGCAUUACAGCACUAAUGAAGUGUUAUUUAUACUACACACUGAUUUUCUGUUUUGUUUUUCUUGAAGUUUCUCCUUGUUCCAUCUUUUUUGAUUUAUCAUACAUUUAG